GAACCAGUGGUGCAAUGGACAACACAUCUGACUACAGAUCAGAAGACUCCAGGUUCAACUCCUGGCUGGCUCG